rnacentral:rRNA from 1 species
ACGCUGGCGGCAGGCCUAACACAUGCAAGUCGAGCGGUAGAGAGAAGCUUGCUUCUCUUGAGAGCGGCGGACGGGUGAGUAAUGCCUAGGAAUCUGCCUGGUAGUGGGGGAUAACGUUCGGAAACGGACGCUAAUACCGCAUACGUCCUACGGGAGAAAGCAGGGGACCUUCGGGCCUUGCGCUAUCAGAUGAGCCUAGGUCGGAUUAGCUAGUUGGUGAGGUAAUGGCUCACCAAGGCGACGAUCCGUAACUGGUCUGAGAGGAUGAUCAGUCACACUGGAACUGAGACACGGUCCAGACUCCUACGGGAGGCAGCGGUGGGGAAUAUUGGACAAUGGGCGAAAGCCUGAUCCAGCCAUGCCGCGUGUGUGAAGAAGGUCUUCGGAUUGUAAAGCACUUUAAGUUGGGAGGAAGGGCAUUAACCUAAUACGUUAGUGUUUUGACGUUACCGACAGAAUAAGCACCGGCUAACUCUGUGCCAGCAGCCGCGGUAAUACAGAGGGUGCAAGCGUUAAUCGGAAUUACUGGGCGUAAAGCGCGCGUAGGUGGUUUGUUAAGUUGGAUGUGAAAUCCCCGGGCUCAACCUGGGAACUGCAUUCAAAACUGACUGACUAGAGUAUGGUAGAGGGUGGUGGAAUUUCCUGUGUAGCGGUGAAAUGCGUAGAUAUAGGAAGGAACACCAGUGGCGAAGGCGACCACCUGGACUAAUACUGACACUGAGGUGCGAAAGCGUGGGGAGCAAAC